ACCUGAGCUGAAGUUGGACGCUUCACCGACUGAGCCCCCUAGGCGCCCCGAGAAACAAUUUUCAGUGUGUGAAAACAACAACCAACGUUGUUAGCUUCUGAAUGAUCAUUAGUAUCUCUUAAGUUGACUUGACCUGAGAUGUGGCAGCAGCGAUUUCCCAGGGAGCCCGUCUUCUGUCCCCUGUUCUCGGCCGUGGGCAACGCCAGGUGGCAAAUGGGUCACCUUGGCCGUUAUCAGUGUUUGCCAGCGUCACAGGGUGGAGACUGCCUUGUGCACAAUGCCCUGCAAUGUGGUGUCGGCGCAUCCUGUGGGUCACGCCUGGCUGGCGAGCUGGGUUUCUGGGCUGAGUGGCUCUGACGGUCUCUGUGGAGGCAGGAGAGACAAGGGACGAGGACCAUCUCCCACAGUCUGCCUUUUCUCAACCGUUGACCUCGACUGAGGGUCCCUGCACCACGGGCUGCGUAUAGGGCGGCUGCGACACGUCCCUGGAGUCCAGGGUUUGAGAUGCAGACAUUCUCGUGGCCGUGAUUCUGGAUCGCCGCUGGUGCACAUUUUAGGUCACCGCUUAAAGAAUCUCCUUUCCGUGCCUACGGUAUGAACGAGGUUUAGUUACACAAUGUUGGAAAACACACAUGUCGUCCUGAGCUCCUGAGCUCUUCCUUGCGUUUACAGGUGCGAACGUCGGCCCGGCUUUGCUGUUCCCUGGACGUGCAUUUACUAGCCUGGAUUCUCUCUUUCUCUCUACAAAUUGGACAGAAGUUGUUUCACGUGAGCAAGCAUUCUGUGUGUCCCCAUUUCCGAUUUUUGGGUUUCCUGUCAAUUUAUUAUGGUCAUCAGAGUCCAAAUAUGAUCUUCAUUCUAGGGAAGUUUGCCAGGCAGAUGGGAAGCAUUAUUCGCGGUAGCGAAGACCUGGAAACAAGCUAAGUGUCUGUUGACGGACGAGUGGGUAAAGAAGAUGUGGUGUGUAUACGACGGAAUGUUAUUCAGCCAUGAGAAAGAAAGAGAUCUUCCCACACGGGUGGAUGUCAUGGGCGUUCUGCUAAGUGAAGGAAGUCAUAAAGACAAAUACUGUAUGGUCUUACUUGUGUGUGGAGUCUAAAACCAGAAUAAACUUAAAGGUGCGGAACA